GAGUUUGAUCAUGGCUCAGGACGAACGCUGGCGGCGUGCUUAACACAUGCAAGUCGAACGGAAAGGCCCUGCUUUUGUGGGGUGCUCGAGUGGCGAACGGGUGAGUAACACGUGAGUAACCUGCCCUUGACCUUGGGAUAACUUCAGGAAACUGGGGCUAAUACCGGAUAGGAGCUCCUGCUGCAUGGUGGGGGUUGGAAAGUUUCGGCGGUUGGGGAUGGACUCGCGGCUUAUCAGCUUGUUGGUGGGGUAGUGGCUUACCAAGGCUUUGACGGGUAGCCGGCCUGAGAGGGUGACCGGCCACAUUGGGACUGAGAUACGGCCCAGACUCCUACGGGAGGCAGCAGUGAGGAAUAUUGCACAAUGGGCGGAAGCCUGAUGCAGCAACGCCGCGUGCGGGAUGACGGCCUUCGGGUUGUAAACCGCUUUCGCCUGUGACGAAGCGUGAGUGACGGUAAUGGGUAAAGAAGCACCGGCUAACUACGUGCCAGCAGCCGCGGUGAUACGUAGGGUGCGAGCGUUGUCCGGAUUUAUUGGGCGUAAAGGGCUCGUAGGUGGUUGAUCGCGUCGGAAGUGUAAUCUUGGGGCUUAACCCUGAGCGUGCUUUCGAUACGGGUUGACUUGAGGAAGGUAGGGGAGAAUGGAAUUCCUGGUGGAGCGGUGGAAUGCGCAGAUAUCAGGAGGAACACCAGUGGCGAAGGCGGUUCUCUGGGCCUUUCCUGACGCUGAGGAGCGAAAGCGUGGGGAG
rnacentral:rRNA from 1 species